UACAGAGGUCUCAAGCGUUGUUCGGAAUCACUGGGCGUAAAGGGUGCGCAGGCGGAUCGGUAAGUCAGAGGUGAAAUCUCACAGCUCAACUGUGAAACUGCCUUUGAUACUGCUGAUCUUGAGUUAGGGAGAGGUUGAUGGAAUUCCAGGUGUAGCGGUGAAAUGCGUAGAUAUCUGGAAGAACACCAGUGGCGAAGGCGGUCAACUGGCCCUAAACUGACGCUCAUGCACGAAAGCGUGGGGAUCAAACAGG
rnacentral:rRNA from 1 species